rnacentral:piRNA from 1 species
UAGAAACACAUGGUUAACUCCAUGGCAUGCC